CAGUAGCGCGGUAACACGGAGGGUGCAAGCGUUAUCCGGAUUUAUUGGGUUUAAAGGGUCCGUAGGCGGAUCUGUAAGUCAGUGGUGAAAUCUCACAGCUUAACUGUGAAACUGCCAUUGAUACUGCAGGUCUUGAGUAAAUUUGAAGUGGCUGGAAUAAGUAGUGUAGCGGUGAAAUGCAUAGAUAUUACUUAGAACACCAAUUGCGAAGGCAGGUCACUAAGAUUUAACUGACGCUGAUGGACGAAAGCGUGGGGAGCGAACAGGAUUAGAUACCCCGGUAGUCCCUGUCUCUUAUACA
rnacentral:rRNA from 1 species